rnacentral:rRNA from 1 species
UACGGGGGGGCAAGCGUUGUUCGGAAUUACUGGGCGUAAAGGGCUCGUAGGCGGCCAACUAAGUCGGAUGUGAAAUCCCCAAGCUUAACUUGGGAACUGCAUCCGAUACUGGAUGGCUUGAAUCCGGGAGAGGGAUGCAGAAUUCCAGGUGUAGCGGUGAAAUGCGUAGAUAUCAGGAAGAACACCGGUGGCGAAAGCGCUCUGCUAGGCCGCAACUGACACUGAGGGACGAAAGGCUAGGGGAGCGAAUGGG